rnacentral:rRNA from 1 species
GACAGAGGGUGCAAACGUUGCUCGGAAUUAUUGGGCGUAAAGCGCACGUAGGCGGUUCGUUAAGUCGGAUGUGAAAGCCCUCGGCUCAACUGAGGAAGUGCACCCGAAACUGGCGAGCUUGAGUACGAAAGAGGAUCGCGGAAUUCCCGGUGUAGAGGUGAAAUUCGUAGAUAUCGGGAGGAACACCGGUGGCGAAGGCGGCGAUCUGGGUCGAUACUGACGCGUGAGGAGCGAAAGCGUGGGGAGCGAACAGG